rnacentral:rRNA from 1 species
ACCGGUGAAAAUGGCUGAGUGGUUCCACCCGUUCCCAUUCCGAACACGGCAGUUAAGCACUCACACGCCGAAGGUACUUGGGUGGCGACGCCCUGGGAGACUAGGUAUUUGCCGGUA